rnacentral:rRNA from 1 species
CUGGUUGAUCCUGCCAGUAGUCAUAUGCUUGUCUCAAAGACUAAGCCAUGCAUGUCUAAGUAUAAGUAUUAUACAGCGAAACUGCGAAUGGCUCAUUAAAACAGUUAUAGUUUAUUUGAUAAUCGAAUUUACAUGGAUAACCGUAGUAAUUCUAGAGCUAAUACAUGCUGGUGUGCCCGACUUUUUGGAAGGGCGGUAUUUAUUAGAUAACAAGCCAAUAUUCCUCUGGUCUAUUGUGGUGACUCAUAAUAACUGAUCGAAUCGCAAGGCCUAUGGCCGCGAUAAGUCAUUCAAGUUUCUGCCCCAUCAGCUUUCGAUAGUAGUGUAUUGGACUACCAUGGCGUUUACGGGUAACGGAGGAUUAGGGUUCGAUUCCGGAGAGGGAGCCUGAGAAACGGCUACCACAUCUAAGGAAGGCAGCAGGCGCGUAAAUUACCCAAUCCUGACUCAGGGAGGUAGUGACAAGAAAUAACGGACCGGGGCCUUACGGCUUCGGGAUUGCAAUGAGCCGAAUUUACACCCCUUAGCGAAGAUCGAUUGGAGGGCAAGUCUGG